rnacentral:rRNA from 1 species
UACGUAGGGGGCUAGCGUUGUCCGGAAUCAUUGGGCGUAAAGAGCGUGUAGGCGGCUCGGUAAGUCCGCUGUGAAAGUCCAGGGCUCAACCCUGGAAUGCCAGUGGAAACUGUCGAGCUAGAGUCCGGAAGAGGCGAGUGGAAUUCCUGGUGUAGCGGUGAAAUGCGCAGAUAUCAAGGAGGAACACCAAUGGCGAAGGCAGCUCGCUGGGACGGUACUGACGCUGAGACGCGAAAGCGUGGGGAGCAAACAGG